rnacentral:rRNA from 1 species
GGAUUAGAUACCCUGGUAGUCCACGCUGUAAACGUUGGAUACUAGGUGUUGGUCUACGUUUAGUGGAGCAGUGCCGAAGCUAACGCAUUAAGUAUCCCGCCUGGGGAGUACGAUCGCAAGGUUGAAACUCAAAGGAAUUGACGGGGACCCGCACAAGCGGUGGAGCAUGUGGUUUAAUUCGACGCAACGCGCAGAACCUUACCCAGGUUGGAAACCCCUGGAAUCUGCUAGAGAUAGUGGAGUGCCUCUUUGAGGAGCCGGGUGUCCAGGUGCUGCAUGGCUGUCGUCAGCUCGUGCCG